UAUUAUUAUUAUUUUGGCAGAUUAGUGCUUUAAAUUUAGAAUUUAAUUAUGUGUAAUAUACACAAAUAAUAC
rnacentral:tRNA from 1 species